AUGCUUCAGCAGCACAUGUACUAAAAUUGGAAUGAUACAGCAAAGAUUAGCAUAGUCUCUGCACAAGAACAACACACCAAUUCGUGAAGUGGACUAUACUUAA